rnacentral:rRNA from 1 species
CCUACGGGUGGCUGCAGUGGGGAAUAUUGGACAAUGGGCGAAAGCCUGAUCCAGCCAUGCCGCGUGUGUGAAGAAGGCCUUCGGGUUGUAAAGCACUUUCAGUGGGGAAGAAAGCCUUGGGGCUAAUACCCUCGAGGAAGGACAUCACCCACAGAAGAAGCACCGGCUAACUCCGUGCCAGCAGCCGCGGUAAUACGGAGGGUGCGAGCGUUAAUCGGAAUUACUGGGCGUAAAGCGCGCGUAGGCGGUCUGAUAAGCCGGUUGUGAAAGCCCCGGGCUCAACCUGGGAACGGCAUCCGGAACUGUCAGGCUAGAGUGCAGGAGAGGAAGGUAGAAUUCCCGGUGUAGCGGUGAAAUGCGUAGAGAUCGGGAGGAAUACCAGUAGCGAAGGCGGCCUUCUGGACUGACACUGACGCUGAGGUGCGAAAGCGUGGGUAGCAAACAGGAUUAGAUACCCCAGUAGUC